GACGAACGCUGGCGGCGUGCUUAACACAUGCAAGUCGAACGAAAAUACCAAGCUUGCUUGGUUGAUUAGUGGCGAACGGGUGAGUAACACGUGAGUAACCUGCCCCUUACUUUCCUGGAUAACUGCUCGAAAGGGUAGCUAAUACGGGAUAUUCUGACCAGUCUGCAUGGGUUGGUUUGGAAAGGUUGUUUUUCUGGUAAGGGAUGGGCUCGCGGCCUAUCAGCUUGUUGGUGGGGUGAUGGCCUACCAAGGCUUUGACGGGUAGCCGGCCUGAGAGGGUGGACGGUCACACUGGGACUGAGAUACGGCCCAGACUCCUACGGGAGGCAGCAGUGGGGAAUAUUGCACAAUGGGCGCAAGCCUGAUGCAGCGACGCCGCGUGAGGGAUGAAGGCCUUCGGGUUGUAAACCUCUUUCGUCAGGGAACAAGGCAUUGCCUUUUUUGGUGGUGUUGAGGGUACCUGGAUAAGAAGCGCCGGCUAACUACGUGCCAGCAGCCGCGGUAAUACGUAGGGCGCAAGCGUUGUCCGGAAUUAUUGGGCGUAAAGAGCUCGUAGGCGGCUGGUCGCGUCUGUCGUGAAAACUUCCGGCUCAACCGGGGGCUUGCGGUGGGUACGGGCCGGCUAGAGUGCGGUAGGGGUAACUGGAACUCCUGGUGUAGCGGUGGAAUGCGCAGAUAUCAGGAAGAACACCGAUGGCGAAGGCAGGUUACUGGGCCGUUACUGACGCUGAGGAGCGAAAGCGUGGGGAGCGAACAGG
rnacentral:rRNA from 1 species